rnacentral:lncRNA from 1 species
GCUAGGACUUCCUGCUAUUCUCACCACAUGAUUCAUUACUCUCUACUUGAGCAUGGAUGAUCAUUAGAAUGUCAGGAUAAACCCCAUAAGGACACUCUGGCCAUUCAUACGGUUAAUCACAACAAACCAUAGGGCACCACCAUGUAACCUCCCUUGAGGAUCAUGGAAUUAUGUCCAUCAACCAUACUUCCACUUUAAAACUUAACUCAAGACAACAACAAGCAAAUACCAUAAUA